AGAGUUUGAUCCUGGCUCAGAUUGAACGCUGGCGGCAUGCUUUACACAUGCAAGUCGAACGGCAGCACGGGCUUCGGCCUGGUGGCGAGUGGCGAACGGGUGAGUAAUACAUCGGAACGUACCCAGAAGUGGGGGAUAACGCAGCGAAAGUUGCGCUAAUACCGCAUACGUUCUACGGAAGAAAGUGGGGGAUCUUCGGACCUCAUGCUUUUGGAGCGGCCGAUGUCUGAUUAGCUAGUUGGUGGGGUAAAGGCUCACCAAGGCGACGAUCAGUAGCUGGUCUGAGAGGACGACCAGCCACACUGGAACUGAGACACGGUCCAGACUCCUACGGGAGGCAGCAGUGGGGAAUUUUGGACAAUGGGCGCAAGCCUGAUCCAGCAAUGCCGCGUGAGUGAAGAAGGCCUUCGGGUUGUAAAGCUCUUUUGUCAGGGAAGAAACGGCUCCGGCUAAUAUCCGGGGCUAAUGACGGUACCUGAAGAAUAAGCACCGGCUAACUACGUGCCAGCAGCCGCGGUAAUACGUAGGGUGCAAGCGUUAUCCGGAUUUAUUGGGCGUAAAGAGCUCGUAGGCGGUUCGUCGCGUCUGGUGUGAAAGUCCAUCGCUUAACGGUGGAUCGGCGCCGGGUACGGGCGGACUGGAGUGCGGUAGGGGAGACUGGAAUUCCCGGUGUAACGGUGGAAUGUGUAGAUAUCGGGAAGAACACCGAUGGCGAAGGCAGGUCUCUGGGCCGUCACUGACGCUGAGGAGCGAAAGCGUGGGGAGCGAACAGGAUUAGAUACCCUGGUAGUCCACGCCGUAAACGAUGGAUACUCGUUGUUGGGGAUUACCCCUCAGUGACUAAGCGAAAGUAAUAAGUAUCCCACCUGGGGAGUACGACCGCAAGGUUGAAACUCAAAGGAAUUGACGGGGGCCCGCACAAGCGGUGGAGCAUGUGGUUUAAUUCGAAGCAACGCGCAGAACCUUACCAUCCCUUGACAUGGCAUGUUACCCCGAGAGAUCGGGGAUCCUCUUCGGAGGCGUG
rnacentral:rRNA from 1 species